rnacentral:rRNA from 1 species
GACAGAGGGGGCAAGCGUUGCUCGGAAUUACUGGGCGUAAAGGGCGUGUAGGCGGCUCGGCAAGUCGGGUGUGAAAGCCCUGGGCUUAACCUAGGAAGUGCACUCGAAACUGCCAAGCUUGAGUUCUGGAGAGGAAGGCGGAAUUCUCGGUGUAGAGGUGAAAUUCGUAGAUAUCGAGAGGAACACCGGUGGCGAAGGCGGCCUUCUGGACAGCAACUGACGCUGAGACGCGAAAGCGUGGGGAGCAAACAGG